CCUCUGAGAUGUUCCCCAAGCCUUAGGCAUUAUCCACUGGGGCUGGGUAUCCCACAGUCAAAAAGAACCUUGGACAAUAGCCCAAUAUGGUAUUUUUAAGUGAGUGGACGCCUGGAGAACACAGGUGUUAGAUAGUCUUCCUGCUACUGGGAUGAUGGAUUGACAUCUUCAAUCAAGGCAUCCCGAGGACUCCUACAGAUUUAGAUGAAGGAGACUUUCAAGGUUGUGUUUGUUUGGAAGGCGACCUCAGUAAGCCAUUGAGGUAGAUGUCAACUGAUGAGACGCUUCUGAGAGGGACUCAAAACUGCUGACCUUGGGAAUUUGCUCUAGAGGAGAGAAAUUCUUGGCCCCUGAGAGAAUGCUGAGAAGACAGGGGAGUGAAAAGAACAAGUCAACAGACUGAGCCAAGCCCAGGGGACAUGGCUAAGCGGCACGCAGAGCAACACAAGAAACCAUUGCUUGGGAAAGGACUCCUCAGAUGAAAGUGUACAAAAUAUGGUCAUUCCUCAUCACCAGGGUUAGCUCCAGGACCCUUGCCCAGGGCACCACAAUCUUAGAGUGCUCAAGUCCCUUAUAUAAACAGCAAAAUGAAUUAGGG